rnacentral:rRNA from 1 species
CCUACGGGCGGCAGCAGUGAGGAAUAUUGGUCAAUGGACGGAAGUCUGAACCAGCCAUGCCGCGUGCAGGAAGACGGCUCUAUGAGUUGUAAACUGCUUUUGUACAAGGGUAAACCUGAAUACGUGUAUUCAGCUGAAAGUACUGUACGAAUAAGGAUCGGCUAACUCCGUGCCAGCAUCCGCGGUAAUACGGAGGAUCCAAGCGUUAUCCGGAUUUAGUGGGUUUAAAGGGUGCGUAGGCGGAUUGAUAAGUUAGAGGUGAAAUGUCCGAGCUUAACUCGGGAACUGCCUCUAAUACUGUUGAUCUAGAGAUAAGAUGCGGUAGGAGGAAUGUAUGGUGUAGCGGUGAAAUGCUUAGAGAUCAUACAGAACACCGAGUGCGAAGGCAGCUUACCAAUCUAUAUCUGACGUUGAGGCACGAAAGCGUGGGGAGCAAACAGGAUUAGAUACCCCGGUAGUC